rnacentral:rRNA from 1 species
CCUAGCUUGCUAGGGACCCAGCUAGUAGCAAACGGGUGAGUAACGCGUGGGAACCUACCUUAUAGUAUGGAAUAGUCUUGGGAAACCGGGUUUAAUACCAUAUACGCUCUACGGAGGAAAGAUUUAUCGCUAUAAGAUGGGCCCGCGUUAGAUUAGUUUGUUGGUGAGGUAAUGGCUCACCAAGACUACGAUCUAUAGCUGGUUUGAGAGGAUGAUCAGCCACACUGGGACUGAGACACGGCCCAGACUCC